rnacentral:rRNA from 1 species
GACGAACGCUGGUGGCGUGCUUAACACAUGCAAGUCGAACGGUAAGGCCCUUCGGGGUACACGAGUGGCGAACGGGUGAGUAACACGUGGGUGAUCUGCCCUGCACUUCGGGAUAAGCCUGGGAAACUGGGUCUAAUACCGGAUAGGACCACUGCCUGCAUGGGUGGUGGUGGAAGGCUUUUGCGGUGUGGGAUGGGCCCGCGGCCUAUCAGCUUGUUGGUGGGGUGAUGGCCUACCAAGGCGACGACGGGUAGCCGGCCUGAGAGGGUGACCGGCCACACUGGGACUGAGAUACGGCCCAGACUCCUACGGGAGGCAGCAGUGGGGAAUAUUGCACAAUGGGCGCAAGCCUGAUGCAGCGACGCCGCGUGAGGGAUGACGGCCUUCGGGUUGUAAACCUCUUUCAGCACCGACGAAGCGCAAGUGACGGUAGGUGCAGAAGAAGGACCGGCCAACUACGUGCCAGCCGCCGCAGUAACAC